rnacentral:rRNA from 1 species
GUACAACUCUCAGCAACGGAUAUCUUGGCUCUUGCAACGAUGAAGAACGCAGCGAAAUGCGAUACGUAGUGUGAAUUGCAGAAUUCCGCGAAUCAUCGAGUCUUUGAACGCAAGUUGCGCCCGAGGCUUGUCCGAGGGCAUUUCCGCUAGAGCGUCACC